GACGAACGCUGGCGGCGUGCCUAAUACAUGCAAGUCGAACGAAGCUUUUUUAACUGGUGCUUGCACCGACUUAAACAACUGAGUGGCGGAUGGGUGAGUAACGCGUGGGCAACCUGCCCUACACAGAGGGAUAGCCACGAGAAAUCGUGAUUAAUACCUUAUAACACAAAAGAGCUGCAUGGCGAUUUUGUCAAAGAUUUAUCGGUGUAGGAUGGGCCUGCGUCUGAUUAGCUAGUUGGUGAGGUAACGGCUCACCAAGGCAACGAUCAGUAGCCGACCUGAGAGGGUAGACGGCCACAUUGGAACUGAGACACGGUCCAAACUCCUACGGGAGGCAGCAGUGGGGAAUAUUGCACAAUGGGCGCAAGCCUGAUGCAGCAACGCCGCGUGAGCGAUGAAGGCCUUUGGGUCGUAAAGCUCUGUCCUUGGGGAAGAAUAACUGACGGUACCCUUGGAGGAAGCCCCGGCUAACUACGUGCCAGCCGCCGCCGUAA
rnacentral:rRNA from 1 species